UGAGUAUCCUGAAAAUAUCUCAGAUGAAUAUCCUGAGAAAGUAUCAGAUAAAUAUUCUGAGAAAGAUAAUGAUGAUCUUUCUGAGGAAGAAAAUGGUUAUGAUUCUGAGGAAGAAAAUGACGAUGAUACUGUGGAAGACUAUGACGAUGAUGAUUUUGAGGAAGAAUAUGAUGAGGAUGAUUUUGAGGAAGAAUAUGACUAUGAUACUGAGGAAGACUAUGACGAUGAUGAUUUUGAGGAAGAAGAUGAUGAUGAUGAUUCUGAGGAAGAAAAUUAUAGGAAAUGUUCUCCGAAAGAAGCAUAUGAAUACCAUGAGGAAGAACAUGAUCAGGACUAUUCUAAGAAAAUAGCCAAGCAGUGUAGAGCUUUAGGGGAAUGUUGUUGGCUUCAUAAACAAUGCUGCGGAGAAGAUACUCAGUGUCUAUGCGACUUUACUGGUGGCAACUGUAAAUGCUCUCCAAAAGGCAUAGUGACAUAACAAAUUAAAUAUUCAUAACCCAUAAAUGUCCAUGGGAAACAUUAUUUAAGAGUUUAAAUAAAGUUAUGUAUUCAGAAA